rnacentral:rRNA from 1 species
AUGACCUCAGCUCAAGCAAGAACACCCGCUGAACUUAAGCAUAUCAAUAAGCGGAGGAAAAGAAACUAACAAGGAUUCCCCUAGUAAUGGCGAAUGAAGAGGGAAAAGCUCAAAUUUUAAAUCUACCUGGUUCCCAGGUCGAGUUGUAAUUUGAAGAAGCGAUAUCGGUGUGGAGGUCUGGUUCAAGUUCUUUGGAACAAGACAUCAUGGAGGGUGAGAAUCCCGUGCAUGAUCAGACCAAGAUACUUAAUAUUCGCUUUCUAAGAGUCGAGUUGUUUGGGAAUGCAGCUCAAAUUGGGUGGUAGACUUCACCUAAGGCUAAAUAUCAGCGAGAGACCGAUAGCGAACAAGUACUGUGAAGGAAAGAUGAAAAGAACUUUGAAAAGAGAGUUAAAUAGUACGUGAAAUUGUUGAAAGGGAAACGAUUGAAGUCAGUCAUGCCAGUGAAAAUUCAGUUUGGUGGGUUUUGGGUUCAGGAGUUGAAGCAGGGUCAAACCGUUUCUCUUUUGAACUUGGAAUUUGUCAGAUGCACUUUUUCUUUGGCAGGUCAGCGUCGAUUUCGGAGGUUGUAAAAUACUUGGGGAAAAGUAGCUCUGCUUCGGGAGAGUGUUAUAGACCUUGGGUGAUGCGGCCUGCGGGAUCGAGGAUUGCAGCAAAUGCUUUUGGCUUGUCGCCUGAUCUCUGGACGUCAUCUCGCUUGUAUCAACAUUCUUGGUACCGGUGAGUAAUGGUGCUCAUAGGUUAGAGCGAUCAAAAAUUUGCUAAGGAUGCUGACGUAAUGGCUUUAAACGACCCGUCUUGAAACACGGACCA